rnacentral:rRNA from 1 species
AGAGUUUGAUCCUGGCUCAGAUUGAACGCUGGCGGCAGGCCUAACACAUGCAAGUCGAGCGGAUGAGUGGAGCUUGCUCCAUGAUUCAGCGGCGGACGGGUGAGUAAUGCCUAGGAAUCUGCCUGGUAGUGGGGGACAACGUUUCGAAAGGAACGCUAAUACCGCAUACGUCCUACGGGAGAAAGCAGGGGACCUUCGGGCCUUGCGCUAUCAGAUGAGCCUAGGUCGGAUUAGCUAGUUGGUGAGGUAACGGCUCACCAAGGCGACGAUCCGUAACUGGUCUGAGAGGAUGAUCAGUCACACUGGAACUGAGACACGGUCCAGACUCCUACGGGAGGCAGCAGUGGGGAAUCUUGCGCAAUGGGCGAAAGCCUGACGCAGCCAUGCCGCGUGAAUGAUGAAGGUCUUAGGAUUGUAAAAUUCUUUCACCGGGGACGAUAAUGACGGUACCCGGAGAAGAAGCCCCGGCUAACUUCGUGCCAGCAGCCGCGGUAAUACGAAGGGGGCUAGCGUUGCUCGGAAUUACUGGGCGUAAAGGGAGCGUAGGCGGACAUUUAAGUCAGGGGUGAAAUCCCGGGGCUCAACCUCGGAAUUGCCUUUGAUACUGGGUGUCUUGAGUAUGAGAGAGGUGUGUGGAACUCCGAGUGUAGAGGUGAAAUUCGUAGAUAUUCGGAAGAACACCAGUGGCGAAGGCGACACACUGGCUCAUUACUGACGCUGAGGCUCGAAAGCGUGGGGAGCAAACAGGAUUAGAUACCCUGGUAGUCC